UACGUAGGGGGCUAGCGUUGCUCGGAAUUACUGGGCGUAAAGGGCUCGUAGGUGGCCCAACUAAGUCAGACGUGAAAUCCCUCGGCUUAACCGGGGAACUGCGUCUGAUACUGGAUGGCUAGAGAUUGGGAGAGGGAUGCGGAAUUCCAGGUGUAGCGGUGAAAUGCGUAGAUAUCUGGAGGAAUACCGGUGGCGAAGGCGCAUCCUGGACCGACAUUGACGCUGAACGGCGAAAGCUAGGGGAGCAAACGGG
rnacentral:rRNA from 1 species